rnacentral:rRNA from 1 species
AACGAACGCUGGCGGCAGGCCUAACACAUGCAAGUCGAACGAGAUCUUCGGAUCUAGUGGCGGACGGGUGAGUAACGCGUGGGAACGUGCCCUUCUCUACGGAAUAGUCCUGGGAAACUGGGUUUAAUACCGUAUACGCCCUUCGGGGAAAGAAUUUCGGGGAAGGAUCGGACCCGCGUUGGACUUAGGUAGUUGGUGGGGUAAUGGCCGUACCAAGCCGACGAUCCAUAGCUGGUUUGAGAGGUAUGAUCAGCCACACUGGACUGAGACACGGCCCAGACUCCUACGGGAGCAGCAGUGGGAAUCGUUAGACAAUGGGGGCAACCCGUGAUCUAGCCAUGCCGCGUGAGUGACGAAGGCCCUAGGGUCGUAAAGCUCUUUCGCCAGGGAUGAUAAUGACAGUACCUGGUAAAGAACCCCGGUAA